rnacentral:lncRNA from 1 species
UCUUAAGAAUUAGUAAAGACAUUGUCCAUUUGAUACUGCUUACCUAAAAACUAGUCCAGGGUCUCUAGAAUUACAAAUGGGCUUUUCCCAAAGACACCAAUCUCUUCCCUUUUUUAACUUUAGUUUCCCAGCCAAAAAUAGGUACUGAGUAAAUGUUAGGGGCAAGACAACAGCGUCAGAUGAGUAAAGGGAAAUUCACGUCCUAGGCAUUACAGCAUUCUAAACUACUAGAAAUCUAUAAGUGAGAAUUCACCUGGGCACCUUCCCUCCCUCCACCUCCCAAUGUUUUGAUAAGACCAUGAUAAUGCAUCGGAUUUAGAUUUCACAUGAUUAGAUAUCCUACCUUGAUAGUCACCCAGCACACCCUCAGAUCAAAUCGGGGCCCAAUGCACUAAGCAAAUCAUGAAAGUGGCAUCAGAUAAUCUGUAUGACUUGCUAGCAUUGGAAAGGUCAUCUUCUUUGUGUGUCUCAUUUUCUUUAUCCAUAUGGUGGA